GCGCCCGUAGCUCAACUGGUAGAGCAUCCGGCUCAUAACCGGUCGGUUUUGUAGGUUCGAGACCUACCGGGCGCACCA
rnacentral:tRNA from 1 species